rnacentral:ribozyme from 1 species
UGCCCAGCAACUCCUAUCCCUACCUCCUCGUAGUACUGGCCGGGGUACGAGUAACCUUGGGAACUUUGGUCGUAUGCUGACAACGAAGG